GAGAGGAGAGCACGGAACUCGG
rnacentral:siRNA from 1 species